GUAUAGAGGCAGCACAUAUGCUACAAUUGGGACGAUAUAGAGAAGAUUAGCAUGGCCCCUGUGCAAAGAUGAACUACAAAUUUGAGAAGCUUUCCAUAUUUUG
ensembl:snRNA U6 U6 spliceosomal RNA